rnacentral:rRNA from 1 species
UAAGACAGAGGUGCCAAGCGUUAGGCGGAAUCACUGGGCUUAAAGCGUGUGUAGGCGGAUUUGUAAGUACCUUGUGAAAUCCCACGGCUCAACCGUGGAACUGCUCGGUAUACUGCUUAUCUUGAGCCACUUAGGGGCUACCGGAACAAAUGGUGGAGCGGUGAAAUGCGUAGAUAUCAUUUGGAACGCCAAUGGUGAAAACAGGUAGCUGGGAGUGUGCUGACGCUGAGACACGAAAGCCAGGGGAGCGAACGGGAUUAGAUACCCCGGUAGUCCUGGCCGUAAACGAUGUCGACUAGAUCGUGGCAGCUCUGACGUUGUCAUGGUCGAAGCAAAAGUGCUAAGUCGACCGCCUGGGAAGUACGGUCGCAAGGCUA